CUGAAUAGGGCGCGAUUAGUUAGUAGUAGUAGACGCGAAACCGAGUGAUCUACCCAUGGGCAGGUUGAAGCUGUGGUAACACACAGUGGAGGACCGAACCAGUUGACGUUGAAAAGUCUUUGGAUGACCUGUGGGUAGGGGUGAAAGGCCAAUCAAACUCGGAAAUAGCUCGUACUCCCCGAAAUGCAUUUAGGUGCAGCGUUGAAUAAAAGUUUUAUAGAGGUAGAGCUACUGAUUGGAUGCGGGGGCUUCACCGCCUACCAAUUCCUGACAAACUCCGAAUGCUAUAAAAUGUUUUUCAGCAGUGAGGGCAUGGGUGCUAAGGUCCAUGUCCGAGAGGGAAAGAACCCAGACCAUCAGCUAAGGUCCCCAAAUAUAUGUUAAGUUGAAAAAACGAGGUUUGACUGCCCAGACAGCUAGGAUGUUGGCUUGGAAGCAGCCAUUCAUUUAAAGAGUGCGUAACAGCUCACUAGUCGAGCGGUCGAGCAUGGAUAAUAAUCGGGCAUAAACAUAUUACCGAAGCUAUGGACUUAUUAAAGUGGUAGGGGAGCAUUCUAUAUGUGCUGAAGGUGUGCUGUGAGGCAUGCUGGAACGUAUAGAAAAGAAAAUGUAGGCAUAAGUAACGAUAAAGGGGGCGAGAAACCCCCUCACCGAAAGACUAAGGUUUCCUCAGCGAUGCUAAUCAGCUGAGGGUUAGUCGGGACCUAAGGCGAAUCCGAAGGGAGUAGUCGAUGGACAACAGGUUAAUAUUCCUGUACUUCUUAUAACUGCGAUGGGGUGACGGAGUAGUGAAAGCACCGCGAACUGACGGAAUAGUUCGUUGAAACAUUUAGGUAUUAGACUGGUAGGCAAAUCCGCUGGUUUAGCUGAAGUGUGAUAGUACCACAAGUCUUCGGAUGCGUGGAUAGUGUGCCUAAAAACUUCCAAGAAAAACCUCUAAGCUUCAGGUUAUAAGAACCCGUACCGUAAACCGACACAGGUAGUUGGGAUGAGAAUUCUAAGGUGCUCGAGAGAUUCAUGGCUAAGGAACUAGGCAAAAUAGACUCGUAACUUCGGGAGAAGA
rnacentral:rRNA from 1 species